rnacentral:lncRNA from 1 species
GUUACUAAGUAUCUGUUCACUGACACUUGAAGAAAGAAGAACCAUGCACAUUAUUAAAAUCAUACUCUUUUGGAUCGUGACAGCCCUACAAGAAGGUAAGUUAGUUCAUUUGUUUUAUUCAUACUAUAACAAUGCAAUAUUUCCAUUGGCAAUUCAGUAGAUCAUUGAUGACUGUUUAAGGUUAAGAACAUUCACAUUUCACUGAUAUAUGCGAUGUCUAAACACUCACACUUACACUCUUCUCGUCAUGCUUGAAGAUCAAAAUAACACAAUUUGCCUGUGAUUGUUGAUUCUGCAAUGUUUGGUGAUUGUCUUUGCAUUUUUCAAGGUUAAAUAUAUAUGUAUUUAUUUUACCGGUUUUAAUGCCCUAUUAAUGGGCAUUAUAUUUUCUGGUCUGUGCGUCCGUUCGUCUGUUCGUUCGUCCGUUCGUCCGUCUGUCCCGUUUCAGGUUAAAGUUUUUGGAUGAGGUAGGUUAAAGUUGUUAAUGAAGUUGAAGUCCAAUCAACCUGAAACUUACUACACAUGUACCUUAUGAUAUGAUAUUUCUAAUUUUAAUGCCAAAUUAGAGAUUUUACCCGAUUUUCACGGUCCACUGAAUAUAGAAAAUAAUAGUGUGGAUGGGGCAUCCGUGUACGUACGACACACUCUUGUUAUAUGUGACUUACAAACAGUGUUUGGUCUACGAUAUAUAUACUAGGAUCUAUGCAAUGUCUUCAAUAGUUUACAAAACACUCACACUUACACUAGUACUCUUCUCAUCAUGUUUGAUGAUCAAAAUAACACGAUUUGACUGUGGGUAAUGAUUUUGCAAUGUUUGGUGAUUGUCUUUGCAUUUUUCGAGGUUAACUUUAUUUGUAUUUAUUAAUCGGUUUGUAUAUGUGACCAGUCACAACAUAUCAAGGCUUAUGGAGGUAGAACGUCAUUGUGAGAAAAACGCCGUUAACUAUAUGUAACUAGCAAUUUCCAGGCUUAGGAGGGUACAUAGUCUAAAAUUUGAUUUUUGUAUAUUUAUCUAGAAUAUUCCGAAACAAAACUCUCUGUCAUGUUAUUAUGACAUAUUUGUAGUAACAGCAAUGAAACGAGUCAUUUCGAAUACCGGUAUGAAAAUGAGGUUGUUUAACGACUUUUGUUUAUUGAAUGCACUAAUUUAUAAAACGCAAAAAUAUUGUAUUUAUUGGCUUUUAAUGAUGUUCAAUAGCGUAUUUGAAUAAAAUUUUAAAGACUUAAAUUUACUAAAGUGCAAAAAAUUCUAAGCUCUAUUUUAGGACAUGUAAUUUAAACUUGUUGAAAUGAAGUUAGUUUUAAAUUUGUCAAAGUAAGCAUUAAGAAUUCCUUUUUUUAAUUUAGAUUUAUUAUGCAUGUCUCUAUACAUAGUAUGCGACGCAUAACAGUUUAUAAGUAGGUGUUAUCUUAUAUGCAUUUGAUACGGUGCAUUUAUCAUGGAUAUAUUUCAGACUUCAUUUAUGAAAGGAAAUCUAUAGAGCAGAAAUUUGAUUUUUUUUGUAUCAAUUUAAAAUGUAUAUUCAAAUAUUUUUCACUUCAAACGAUAAAGCAAAACUUCUUCAAAACUUAUAUAUGAUGUAUAGUUCGGCGUCCGCAAAAAAGAAGCCAAAUAAAGUGUUUAUCUCUUCUUCACAAAUACGUAUUUCAUUGAAUUUCGAUAUUUAUCAUGUUUAUAAUUUUUCUAACAAUGACGUUCUACCUCCAUAAGCCUGGAAAUGUCAUGGCGGGUCACAUAUGUGACUUACAAACAGGAGCUAGCAGUUGUUGUUGUAUGAUAUAUUUCUAAUGAAAUAUUACUUUGCUUUAGCACCCAGUAUGGUGCACUUCAUUACAAUAUGAAAUUAAACAGACCUAGAAAAAGCCAAUUGCACGAGUUUGCUUCUAUUUAUAUCUAUAUUUAUGUUUAUAUAGCUUAUACGAAUACCAGAGGUGUUAUUUUAGGAGGUCAACUCGAUAGCUAGUUAGACGCCAUCACGUUAAAAUUACACACAUAACGACGCUACACAUUAUAGAGCCUAUGCCCUUUACAAUAUUUAUUUUAGACAUUUUAAAUCUAGAAUAAAUGUUUUACCGGGAUAUAAUUCAAAAAUGAGAAUUUGAGUCGGAUCGGUGAAUAAGUAUUUCACUUUGAGUACCGCUUUAACCAAAACAAAAAGAGUUGUUUCAAAUAUUCUUUAUGGUUUAUCUGAAGGAUUUUGAUGAACUAUUACGUGAAUAAGGUUUGUAAAGUUCUUUUAUUCAACUUGUAUUUGAAUCAAAAAUCAUAUCAAUACUUAUAUUUUUGCAGCUAAAGGUUAUAGCAAUGAAACGAAAUGCAACGUUCGAAACGUCAUUGUUAAUUGCUGCAAUUUAGCCUUGACUACAAUACCAAGGUACCUACCAGUAAACGCGACUAAUCUGGACUUAAGUAAAAACAGCAUCAAAAUAGUCAAAGACUUUAACUUUCAGUCUUUGCGAUACCUCACCGCCCUUAAUUUGGAAAGACAUAAGAUACAGUUAAUAUACAGAUAAAUGCUUUUCGUGGGUUACAUCGUCUACGGAGUCUACAUCUCAGCUCCAGUU